GUUCGUGUCGUGUGUGUGUCGUCGUGCGAGUUUUGUUCAUACGGUCGACUUUUACCGCGCUGCCUCGCAUUGUGUGUUGUAUGUUGUGGUUACUGACGUAAGCGCAAGUUCGUCACGCAGUGUUAUACGCGGUAGCAGGUAAAUAGUCACCAGAUGCCGGCCGUGCGACUCCAAUCUGCGACUGCUUUGUUCAGUGUGACCGACGGAGGCGAUUCAUAGUUUUGAAGAACACGUUCUUCAAAUGUUUCCGCCCGUCAGUAGGGUGCCUUGAUGCGCGUUUUGUCCGCUCACAUCGAGGCACACUACACGGCAGUGAGUAGCAGCGCUGCAAUCCUUUCUCGACGACGCGUUCUGUGGCCCUGGAAAUGCCUUGACGAUCGGGGACGGCCGGUAGCUCGGCGAUUCCUCGCUUGGCGCACCAUUGAAAACCGGCGGUCAUCCAGCAGUGUACGCUGCCAGCGUAUUUUCAUUGCCAGAGGUAGCAAACAGCAGUGCCACGACAAACAGUGGAGUGCUGACCAUGCAGUCCAGAAGGUGGCUGAGGCAAGUAUGCUAUAGGAGGUGCUUAUUCAGGCAGAAGAAAUAAGCAUCUGCAGCCAACGUAAAGGAAGCAUCUUCAAAAAGCAGUGCUACAAGGAUGUGAGCAGCAGUUUCCCUUCAACGAACGGGUCAAAUUCAUGGAAGCCACGUGCCUGCUGCUUCUGGCCUACACAAAUAUGCAGCCACCAUAGUAAAGUUCUUGCAAAGACGUACAGAAAGGAGCGAAGUGGAGCUGUCCAUGGGCCGUGCACACAGUUUCAUAAGCAGGCUUGCAACACUUUUGACAAAUAUGUUCCUGAAUACAUCUGCCAAAGU